UUUCUUAAUAAUUACCAUAACCAGGCUUAAUUUCUAUUAAUAACUCAAUUAAUCAAUUUCUAAUUGAAUUCCCUAUGAAGGAGGGGUUAGGGUUACCGGAAUCGCUCAUUGAGUUUCCAAACCUUCUUCCCGAUACGGCGGCUGUAUCCACCUUCUCCGCCUUUUCCGACGCAUCUCACUCGCCGCCGUUAACAAAUAACAUCAUCUCACCGUCCUCUCAUCUCUCGAUCUCAUCUCUCACAAUAGUAAACCAAUCCUCAACUUUCUCUUCAAGGACGAACGGCGCGGCGGCCAUGUCCUCUUUGGCGAAGACCUUCGUUCAUCGCCACAUUCGUCCUUGCAUCAUUCCCUCUCUCCGACGACUUCAAUGACACACCAACGUCUCUGUCUCAAGUUCUUUCGCUUGUCUCGUUUUCAACGUUUUGAUUUCGUUCUCUAUUGGAGCUCAAUUCGAAUUCGAUGCUUCUUCGACGUCGUGGAGAAGAUGACUAGUUCAACAGCAAGUGUAGUUGAGUUAUUCUGAUCGGUGAAGCGUUGUUGGUGAUGAUGUUAUACGUUGAAGGUUUGUUGCAGGUUGCGUGAUGGAGAGCUUUGCGAGGUAUUGCGAAGAUGAUGAUUGCGCGAUUCUCAGAGUUGAAUAAGGAUUAUGCAGAAUCGUGAAGUGGUGAAGAUUUGAUGGAUAAAGAAUCGGUGAAGGUUGAUGAUGGAGAAGAUUACGAUGAUGAUUCACGAAGGAGGUGGAGUGCGAUGAUUGAAGAUGAUGAAGAGUUUUGCAGAAUUUUCUUGUGAGUUCUUGGAGAAUGAAGGAGGAAGAUGAUUGUAGGCUAUGGUGAUUGGUGAUUCUGUUGGAUUCGAUGCAGAUGAUGAAUUCUGAGGUUAUGGAGAUGAAGAAGCCGAGGUUAAUGAAGGUUUUGUGAAUGAAGAUUGAAGAUUGAAGUUGUUGGAGAUAAUCGCUAUUGCGUUGAAAACGAAGAUUCAAGACUCAGUGAUGAUAAUUAGAGCUUGUUGCGUUGAAGAUUGAAUUGAGAGAGAGGGGAUUCAAAAAGUUUGUUACGAUUCGGUUAUUCCUUUUUUCUGUUCUGAUUAUUUUCUGUUAUGAAAUUCUUUUUGCUGAAUCCAUGAGCAACGAAGCUGGUGAAUCUUGGAUGGAAAAUUAUGAGGAGAGUGUCGAGCCUAGGCGGUUUAUUUGAUGCAGAAUUUUUUGGUUCUUCUGUUGUGAACUGUGUCACUUGUUUGUUUUUUUUUUUGUGGAAUUGUUUAUUAUGACUUGGGUCGGGUAGGUGUACUUGUAAUGAAUAGAAUCUUUUGUAUAUUUUGUAACCCAUGGACACUUGAAUUUUGAAACUUUUGUAUAUUUUGUAACCCUUGGACACUUGAAUUUUGAGUGAGUGAAUGUUUGAAAUUGAACAAUAUUGACUUGAAUGAUA